CGCCCUCUUCGGAGGGAGUGGCAGACGGGUGAGUAACGCGUGGGAACCUACCCAAGGGUACGGGACAACUCAGGGAAACUUGAGCUAAUACCGUAUACGUCCUUAGGGAGAAAGAUUUAUCGCCCCUGGAUGGGCCCGCGUUGGAUUAGCUAGUUGGUGGGGUAAUGGCCUACCAAGGCGACGAUCCAUAGCUGGUCUGAGAGGAUGAUCAGCCACACUGGGACUGAGACACGGCCCAGACUCCUACGGGAGGCAGCAGUGGGGAAUAUUGCACAAUGGGGGCAACCCUGAUGCAGCCAUGCCGCGUGUGUGAAGAAGGCCUUCGGGUUGUAAAGCACUUUCAGUUGUGAGGAAAGGUUGGUGGUUAAUACCCAUCAGCUGUGACGUUAGCAACAGAAGAAGCACCGGCUAACUCCGUGCCAGCAGCCGCGGUAAUACGGAGGGUGCGAGCGUUAAUCGGAAUUACUGGGCGUAAAGCGCACGCAGGCGGUUAUAUAAGCUAGAUGUGAAAGCCCCGGGCUCAACCUGGGAAUAGCAUUUAGAACUGUAUGACUAGAGUCUUGGAGAGGGGGGUGGAAUUCCAGGUGUAGCGGUGAAAUGCGUAGAUAUCUGGAG
rnacentral:rRNA from 1 species